ensembl:lncRNA
GAGGGGAAAGGAGGAGGGAGAAAGAUGCAAAACAGCUCAUGCUGGGGAGAAUGAACGUGAAACUUGGGGGCAGCUUAGUUUGGUAACACAGCUUCUCCAACCUGAGCAAUCUAGAAGAUGCUGCAUUUGACAGUCAGCCAUCUUUGGCUUUGGCCAACCAAGGAACCAGAGAGCACAAAUCAAACAACAGACCACAGGAGCAGCAGUCUCUACUGCUAUAAUACAUGUAAAUAUCCAACAACCCAAGUACAGCCCUGAGAAACCCUGCAUGAGCUCAUGUGUGAAGCAGGAGGCUGGACAGAGACCUCCUGAAGACCUUUCCAAAUUGACUCACCCAGUGAUCCCAUGAUCCAGGGAGAACCAAGGCAACCUGCCAAGCCAACAUCCUUGGAGGCAAGGAGCUCUGGCAGGAAGCUACUGGGGAGUUGGGGGGGGAAACAGACGUUGGCUCUGGGAAAGCCAUCACACAUGGUCUCUGCAGAUAGGCCAGCCUUUAACUGAGAUGUCCUGCAGCCUUCCUGCUGGGGAACAAAAAACCUCUCAGGAAAUCUUAUAGAGAAUUCACUCUUUCUUCAGUGCUUCUGUGGAAUCAGCAGUCAGACCCUUCACUUCCAUUCAGCUUUAAUAUCACACUUAAUCAUAUGCCUUCCUCCAGCCAACCCCUCGCCCCAAGCAGCUUCACACAGCUCUGGGAUUGGAUGUUAUUCGCUCAUCUCUCAUCAGUUUGCCAACUCUGUUGCCAGUGUGAACAGCCCCCAGCCCACGUCAGCUGGAGCACACCCAGUCACGUUCAACUUUUUCCACUAGAGGCUUUUUGGUUUGAAUUGAGAGCUGCAAGCAAGAGAAUGCUUAUGGAAGUUCAUCCCACCAACCACACCAAGGAAUGUCUUCCAAUGGGGUCAAUGACAGAAAGAGUCUAUUCCACUGGCAAGGCAAUAACGAGAUAAACACGUGUAUACAAGCUCCUUAGUUCACGGAUGAGCUUUUCUGAAAUAGAAAUUGAGUAAGAAUUGUCUCUGGAACUGGAUCAACAAGAAUUUGAGCAAAAGGUAACUUGCCAUGUCCCUAUCAACAUCGCCACCCAAUUGCUCCUGUAACCCCCCACAUUUUCCCUUGUCACUCCCAGGUUGAGUGCUGAGCUAAGACCAUCCUUGCAACAUCCUCCUGUGAACAUUUGUAUCAGAGACAGUGCGAGUUCAUCCCUGCUUGCAUUUGACAAUGUUUUCUUCAGCUGAUCUCUGUCAGGAGUAAAUCUGGGCCCCAGGAUCUGUAAUCCUCUCUUCUCAGGUGCUCUGGAAGAGGUAGGAGAAUAAACAGGUACAUGAAGAGGGGAGGCUCAUUCACAGCUAAUGAAGAGAUACUGCUUUUGGGUAGCAAACUGAGGCUGCACACAGUGACAGGAGCUUCCUGCUUCUGGGACAUCCUGGAGGGCGCUUCUUCACUAGCUCUGCAGACAAUUUAGGCAAGGUAUACUCUCCAGAUAUAUUGCUUCCCUGUUGGAAAAAGGAGUACAGGGCACGAAGGAACAUAAAAUAAUUGAAUAUUUGGGGACAAUUAAAAGUUUCUUAAAGAUGCCCUGCUUAUAUAGCUAAUAGGUUAGAAUUAAGCUUAUAGAGAAUCGUGUACUGGUAAGAUCUGUCUUUGCCCAGAGAGAAGUCAAAGUUUUUUGCUGUUUUAAUUUCACCAUAACGAUCAUCUGGAUCUAAUCCCUUGCCAUGGGCAGGAACACUUCCCACUAGACCAGCGUGCCCAAAGCUCCAUCCAACCUGGCUUUAAGCACCUGUGGAUGAGGCAUUCUCAGCCUCUCUGGGCAGCCUGUUCCAAUGCCUCAUCACCCUCAUAAUGAAGAAUUUCUUCCUAAUAUCUAAUCUAAAUCUACCCUCUUUUAUUUUCCAGUCACUGCCCCCUGUCCUUUCACUACCCUCAUAAAGAGUCCCUCCCAUUUUUCCUACAGGCUCUUUGUAGUACUCAUGGUACAGGGUGUUGCACAUAGAUAACAUAUGCUGUAGGCUGAU